rnacentral:rRNA from 1 species
UACGGAGGGUGCAAACGUUGCUCGGAAUCAUUGGGCGUAAAGCGCGCGUAGGCGGCGAAGCAAGUUGGAUGUGAAAGCCCUGGGCUCAACCUAGGAUGUGCAUACAAAACUGCUUCGCUUGAAUCUCGGAGGGGGUCAGGGAAUUCCCGGUGUAGAGGUGAAAUUCGUAGAUAUCGGGAGGAACACCAGUGGCGAAGGCGCUGACCUGGACGAUGAUUGACGCUGAGGCGCGAAAGCCAGGGGAGCAAACGGG